rnacentral:rRNA from 1 species
GAUGAACGCUAGCGAUAGGCUUAACACAUGCAAGUCGAGGGGUAACGUGUUGGAAGCUUGCUUCCGAUGACGACGACCGGCGGAUGGGUGCGUAACGCGUAUGCAACUUGCCUCACAGUGGAGAAUAACCCGGAGAAAUCCGGACUAAUACUCCAUACACUCUUAAGUACGCCUGUACAUGAGAGGAAAGAUUUAUCGCUGUGAGAUAGGCAUGCGUCCUAUUAGGUAGUUGGUGAGGUAACGGCUCACCAAGCCGACGAUAGGUAGGGGUGCUGAGAGGGAGAUCCCCCACAUGGGGACUGAGACACGGCCCAAACUCCUACGGGAGGCAGCAGUGAGGAAUAUUGGUCAAUGGAGGAAACUCUGAACCAGCCAAGUCGCGUGAAGGAAGAAUGUCCUGAGGAUUGUAAACUUCUUUAGCGAGCGAGUAAGGACUUCCACGUGAUGGGAGUUUGAAAGUAGCUCGAGAAUAAGUAUCGGCUAACUCCGUG